AAGAAAGUGACAGAGUGGAGAUGUGUUUGGCUUGAAACCAUAGUAUGGGGGUUCAAUUCCCUCCUUUCUUG
rnacentral:tRNA from 1 species